rnacentral:rRNA from 1 species
GACGGAGGAUGCAAGCGUUAUCCGGAAUGAUUGGGCGUAAAGCGUCCGCAGGUGGCAGUUCAAGUCUGCUGUGAAAUCCCCGAGCUCAACUUGGGAAUUGCAGUGGAUACUGGCAGGCUGGAGUAUGGUAGAGGAAGGUGGAAUUCCCGGUGUAGCAGUGAAAUGCGUAGAGAUCGGGAGGAACACCAGUGGCGAAGGCGGCCUUCUGGACCAAUACUGACGCUCAUGCACGAAAGCGUGGGGAGCAAACAGG